CACGCCCUAAACGAUGUCAACUAGCCGUUGGGUUCGUAAAUGAGCUUAGUGGCGCAGCUAACGCGAUAAGUUGACCGCCUGGGGANCAACGCGAAGAACCUUACCAGGCCUUGACAUCUAGCGAACUUUCCAGAGAUGGAUUGGUGCCUUCGGGAACGCUAAGACAGGUGC
rnacentral:rRNA from 1 species